rnacentral:rRNA from 1 species
GUGGGGAAUCUUAGACAAUGGGCGCAAGCCUGAUCUAGCCAUGCCGCGUGAGCGAUGAAGGCCUUAGGGUUGUAAAGCUCUUUCGCUGGGGAAGAUAAUGACUGUAUCCAGUAAAGAAGCCCCGGCUAACUCCGUGCCAGCAGCCGCGGUAAUACGGAGGGGGCUAGCGUUGUUCGGAAUUACUGGGCGUAAAGCGCGCGUAGGCGGAUUGGAAAGUUGGGGGUGAAAUCCCGGGGCUCAACCUCGGAACUGCCUUCAAAACUCCCAGUCUUGAGUUCGAGAGAGGUGAGUGGAAUUCCGAGUGUAGAGGUGAAAUUCGUAGAUAUUCGGAGGAACACCAGUGGCGAAGGCGGCUCACUGGCUCGAUACUGACGCUGAGGUGCGAAAGCGUGGGGAGCAAACAGGAUUAGAAACCCGGGUAGUCC